AGCUCUGUAGUGAAUUUCAUGCUGAGUUGCAAACUCAGAGAUGCGUAUUAGGCAUACGCCAGGGCUU
rnacentral:tRNA from 1 species